UACGUACCGUCCAAACGUUAUUCGGAAUUACUGGGCUUAAAGGGUUUGUAGGCGGCGCUGUUAGUCGGGUGUGAAAUCCCUCGGCUCAACCGAGGAAUUGCGCCCGAUACUGCAGUGCUUGAGGGAGACAGAGGUAAGCGGAACUGAUGGUGGAGCGGUGAAAUGCGUAGAUAUCAUUUGGAACGCCAACGGUGAAAACAGGUAGCUGGGAGUGUGCUGACGCUGAGACACGAAAGCCAGGGGAGCAAACGGG
rnacentral:rRNA from 1 species